GUAUAAUGUUUAUAUAGGCUUUUUUAAGGCCUUGAAAUUUCAUUCUUUAACAUACGUGUGUAAAUAUAGAAAACAUAGAUCUGGAAAAUGCAAAGGAAAGCUGGCUUAUACAGCACAGCAGUCUCAUAUAACGUAGCCAAAAGGCCACGCGGUUAUCCCAGAACUACAAGAGGUGCACAGGUGGAAAUAUAAAAAUGACAGAGGUGCACAUGCUCCCGAAAGAGCCAGCUACAUUCCAUCAAGUUCAUUCUGUAAUGAUCCUUCCGCAGGUUCACCUACGGAAA
rnacentral:misc_RNA from 1 species